UACAAUAGUCCACAGCACAUCCCAGUUGCUU
rnacentral:piRNA from 1 species